rnacentral:rRNA from 1 species
UACGAAGGGGGCAAGCGUUGUUCGGAAUUACUGGGCGUAAAGGGCGCGUAGGCGGCUUAUCAAGUCAGGCGUGAAAUUCCCGGGCUCAACCUGGGGGCUGCGCUUGAUACUGAUGAGCUUGAAUGCGGGAGAGGAUAGUGGAAUUCCCAGUGUAGAGGUGAAAUGCGUAGAUAUCUGGAGGAACACCGGUGGCGAAGGCGGCAUCCUGGACCGGUAUUGACGCUGAGGCGCGAAAGCCAGGGGAGCAAACGGG